CCCUUAGAUGUUCUGGGCCGCACGCGCGCUACACUGACGAUGGCAACGAGUUUUUCCUUCGCCGAAAGGUGUGGGUAAUCUUUUGAAACAUCGUCGUGCUGGGGAUAGAUCAUUGCAAUUUUUGAUCUUGAACGAGGAGUUCCUAGUAAGCGCGAGUCAUCAGCUCGCGUUGAUUACGUCCCUGCCCUUUGUACACACCGCCCGUCGCUACUACCGAUUGAAUGGUUUAGUGAGGACUCCUGAUUGGCGCCGCCGCCCCGGCAACGGAGCAGCGGACUGCCGAAAAGUUGUUCAAACUUGAUCAUUUAGAGGAAGUAAAAGCCGUAACA
rnacentral:rRNA from 1 species